rnacentral:rRNA from 1 species
AUACGAAGGGACCUAGCGUAGUUCGGGAUUACUGGGCUUAAAGAGUUCGUAGGUGGUUGAAAAAGUUAGUGGUGAAAUCCCAGAGCUUAACUCUGGAACUGCCAUUAAAACUUUUCAGCUAGAGUAUGAUAGAGGAAAGCAGAAUUUCUAGUGUAGAGGUGAAAUUCGUAGAUAUUAGAAAGAAUACCAAUUGCGAAGGCAGCUUUCUGGAUCAUUACUGACACUGAGGAACGAAAGCAUGGGUAGCGAAGAGGAUUAGAUACCCUCGUAGUCCAUGACCGUAAACGAUGGUCACUAGCUGUUCGGACUUCGGUCUGAGUGGCUAAGCGAAAGUGAUAAGUGACCCACGUGGGGAUACGUUCGCAAGAAUGAAACUCAAAGGAUUGGACGGGGCCCGCACAAGCGGUGGAGCAUGUGGUUUAAUUCGAUGAUACGCGAGGAA